GCUGUGAGUAUGAGGAGGCCAGCGGCCAGCUGAUAGAUGAGAGGUGAAGUGUAAGCGAGUGCCAAUAAAGUGUCCAGGUCUCAGCCACGAUCCCAAGCCUCCGCCUCCUUCCUUUUCCACGCAAACAUCAUACCACAACAAACACAACGCAGAGUCCCAGGGCGUGUAGGGAGACGACGGCCCAACGCAAAGUGCGGGUUACAUAUAUAUUGUGCCAACAGCUUGCGAACAGCCGGUGACCAUUUCAGAGAAACCACAAACAAGCAAAGCAACACAGCAACAUCACAGGUGUGUGUCUGUGUGGGCUGAAGGUGUGGUUACAGGUUGUGGUUGGGUAUGAGGCUUCAUGGUGAGGCUGGAGGGAAGAGCGGCGGCACACUUCCGGUGACGUCGGCGGCGUCUUGGAGAGUCCAGCAUGUAAACGAGCUACGCAGCUGCACAUGAUGACGACACGGAGAGUGUUUCAUCUAAAACCUCUGAGGGAAAGGCUGCUACCAAAACACCCUGUGAGUCCUCCAGCCAGAAAGACCAGGCCAUCAACGAAACGGACAUCCAGCCAGAACUUGUUACCAAGUCCAAGAAGUGCUGCGUCAGGUGCUUCCUUCAGAGGAUUUUCAAGACUCGUUGCUGCUGUUUCACGGCCGAUGAUGAAGAUGAAGAUGAUGACUUGAGAGAACCUAUUCUCCAGCCUGCUGUUCAAAGCUAAUAACUGCAGUCACAAUAAUUAAACUGACCCGUUUGU